ACGAACGCUGGCGGCGUGCUUAACACAUGCAAGUCGAACGGUAAGGCCCUUUCGGGGUACACGAGUGGCGAACGGGUGAGUAACACGUGGGUAAUCUGCCCUGCACUUCGGGAUAAGCCUGGGAAACCGGGUCUAAUACCGGAUAUGAGCUCCUGCCGCAUGGUGGGGGUUGGAAAGUUUUUCGGUGCAGGAUGAGUCCGCGGCCUAUCAGCUUGUUGGUGGGGUAAUGGCCUACCAAGGCGACGACGGGUAGCCG
rnacentral:rRNA from 1 species